UACGAAGGGGGCUAGCGUUGUUCGGAAUUACUGGGCGUAAAGCGCACGUAGGCGGGUGGUUAAGUCAGGGGUGAAAACCCGGAGCUCAACUCCGGAACUGCCUUUGAUACUGGCCAUCUAGAGAUCGGAAGAGGUAAGUGGAAUUCCCAGUGUAGAGGUGAAAUUCGUAGAUAUUGGGUAGUACACCAGUGGCGAAGGCGGCUUACUGGUCCGACACUGACGCUGAGGUGCGAAAGCGUGGGGAGCAAACAGG
rnacentral:rRNA from 1 species